rnacentral:rRNA from 1 species
AUUGAACGCUGGCGGCAGGCUUAACACAUGCAAGUCGAGCGGAGAUGAGGUGCUUGCACCUUAUCUUAGCGGCGGACGGGUGAGUAAUGCUUAGGAAUCUGCCUAUUAGUGGGGGACAACAUUCCGAAAGGAAUGCUAAUACCGCAUACGCCCUACGGGGGAAAGCAGGGGAUCUUCGGACCUUGCGCUAAUAGAUGAGCCCAAGUCGGAUUAGCUAGUUGGUGGGGUAAAGGCCUACCAAGGCGACGAUCUGUGGCGGGUCUGAGAGGAUGAUCCGCCACACUGGGACUGAGACACGGCCCAGACUCCUACGGGAGGCAGCAGUGGGGAAUGUUGGACAAUGGGCGGAAGCCUGAUCCAGCCAUGCCGCGUGUGUGAAGAAGGCCUUUUGGUUGUAAAGCACUUUAAGCGAGGAGGAGGCUACCUGGAUUAAUACUCUAGGAUAGUGGACGUUACUCGCAGAAUAAGCACCGGCUAACUCUGUGCCAGCCGCCGCCGUAACAC